GGAAGGGUAGCCAAGCGGCCGACGGCAGCGGUCUUGAAAACCGCCGAGGGCGCAAGCUCUCCGUGGGUUCGAAUCCCACCCCUUCCGCCA
rnacentral:tRNA from 1 species